GAGUUUGAUCAUGGCUCAGAUUGAACGCUGGCGGCAUGCCUUACACAUGCAAGUCGAACGGUAACGGGUUAAGCCGACGAGUGGCGAACGGGUGAGUAAUAUAUCGGAACGUGCCCAAUCGUGGGGGAUAACGCAGCGAAAGUUGUGCUAAUACCGCAUAAGAUCUACGGAUGAAAGCGGGGGAUCGCAAGACCUCGCGCGAGUGGAGCGGCCGAUAUCAGAUUAGCUAGUUGGUGAGGUAAAGGCUCACCAAGGCGACGAUCUGUAGCUGGUCUGAGAGGACGACCAGCCACACUGGGACUGAGACACGGCCCAGACUCCUACGGGAGGCAGCAGUGGGGAAUUUUGGACAAUGGGCGCAAGCCUGAUCCAGCAAUGCCGCGUGCAGGAUGAAGGCCUUCGGGUUGUAAACUGCUUUUGUACGGAGCGAAAAGGUCUGCCCUAAUACGGUGGGCUCAUGACGGUACCGUAAGAAUAAGCACCGGCUAACUACGUGCCAGCAGCCGCGGUAAUACGUAGGGUGCAAGCGUUAAUCGGAAUUACUGGGCGUAAAGCGUGCGCAGGCGGUUAUAUAAGACAGAUGUGAAAUCCCCGGGCUCAACCUGGGCACUGCAUUUGUGACUGUAUAGCUAGAGUACGGUAGAGGGGG
rnacentral:rRNA from 1 species